AUUGAACGCUGGCGGCAGGCCUAACACAUGCAAGUCGAACGAGUGGCGGACGGGUGAGUAAUGUCUGGGAAACUGCCUGAUAGAGGGGGAUAACUACUGGAAACGGUAGCUAAUACCGCAUACCAUCAGAUGUGCCCAGAUGGGAUUAGCUGGUUGGUGGGGUAACGGCUCACCAAGGCGACGAUCCCUAGCUGGUCUGAGAGGAUGACCAGCCACACUGGGACUUAGACACGGCCCAGACUCCUACGGGAGGCAGCAGUGGGGAAUAUUGCACAAUGGGCGAAAGCCUGAUGCAGCCAUGCCGCGUGUAUGAAGAAGGCCUUCGGGUUGUAAAGUACUUUCAGCGGGGAGGCGUUACCCGCAGAAGAAGCACCGGCUAACUCCGUGCCAGCAGCCGCGGUAAUUC
rnacentral:rRNA from 1 species